UCCGGCUUAAAUUUUACAGCUAUAGUAUACUUCCCUCAUGCCAACACUACUAUUUUAUGCCGUUUGUUUUUAACGUGGCUGUUACUGAUGAUUUCGCUGUUGCUGCGGACAGCAGGUGAUGUUUAGCAGAUAGUGCCCAGGUAGUGCUGAGAAUAGGCAGGCUACGCCAAGGGGACACAGGGUGCAAUUAAUCGAAUUGAUCGGCGCCGAUCUCGAUCUCUUGAACCGAAUCGACAAAGUCGCGUUAGCGCGCGUUAAAAGGUAAGAGCACCUUCUGUGAUCUUCGGCUGGACAGCUGGAAACCCAAAUCCAGCGGCUAUCGCCGAGCUCAGCAUCUGUCUCCCGAGUCCUGCAGCGGAAAAAGAGGGCCUGAGGCAAAGAUUAUCUGCAGCGUGGGUUCUUGAUUACCAAUAAUAACAUUACUCAAGAUAGCGGCUUUUAUCACCUCGAACGUCCAACACAGUCGAGGCGUUUAUUUUCUGCGGAUUUUCGAUCUUGAGUAAUUGUCUAAUCCUUUCUUGAUCAAUCGUUUAAAAAAAAAUCACAUUAAAAAAAAACGUCACCGCGGUUUAAUUUGGCGCUGAAAAAUCUGGGCCACAAAACAAAAUCUCGCCAAGAUACGGGAAUUAAAGCCUUUUUAAAAGCACUUCGUUUCAAUCGGUACACCAACUCGUUUAUUUAACGUCGUCUGCUUCGACAUACUUCGUCGUGGCUCUGAACAGGUUAGUAAACUCGGUCAUGUAAAUAGAAGUGGGUUAAAUCCAGGGUUUGUGACUUCAUCUAGAUAAGGAAAACUUCAGCCAGUUUGUGUUCAAUGGUUCUGUUUUGUCUGCUGUUAUCGUGAUGAAUCAAAUUACUGCACGACACGUUAUUUACACCCAUCCUGAUCAAUCGAAUUGCUGCUUUACAAAAGAACGAAACAGAGUGAACUAGUUUCCACACAGCCUGUCGGCCUACACUGGUCCAACAGGUCAUUACAGACAGGAGAGAAACUGCACAUCGGUCUCCUGUAUUUCUCGUCUUCUGACGCUUUUGGGUCCGAUACAAACUCGCUUAAGAAACAGAAGGACAUCAAGAGACCCUUACCUGCCUAUACAAAAUUAUUAUUUUUUUUAAAUAGAGAAAUAACGCCUUGACAAUUCAGGAACCGGUGGGAAACGAAAAAUACCACACUGAACCGUUUGACAGCUCCAUUUCAUUGUCUUAUUAGAAACGGAGCAACGCAAUUUAAUUUCACACUCAGACUCUCUCUCAGGUCUGUGUUUAUUUUCAGCGCCCAGUAAAAUCAGUAAAAUCAAAUGUCCAAGCCGAAGGUUAUCGAUACAACACAAUGCUGAAACUACAAAUGGAUAAUUGGAUAGUCAUUUAUGUAGCGUAUAAUGUUUAUAAUUAGGUCUGAAAUAUACGAUCCUGCGAUGCCGGCUCUAUCACUAUGAAGCAGAAUUCACCGAACUGGGUUUGACCGCCAGUAGACAGAUGGGUUUUUGUAUGCCUUGUAUUUUGUGUGGAAGAAAGAACGGACCAAUUUCUUAGAAGGAGGAUUUAGCUACACUGUUUUCAAAUUGAAACAGGUGCUCGUUCUGAGCUUCCCCUCCAGCUCGUCUGAAAGCGGUCUUCGGCGCUCAAACAGUAGUGCCAGCCGGACAGAUUAGGCCGCGGUUAUGAGAGAACUGCGCAGCCCCUUUAUCUGAAUAAACAUUUGGCGAGGACCGCUAUCUGCGGACACAUCAGCGCUGAGGACGCGGCCGGCAGAGCUGCGCUUCGCGUCUGACCGGCGCGACGGAGAAAGUUGGACGUCAAUAUUCUCUUUUUGAACCCCGGCAUGACUGAAACCCCCAGGUGUCUAUAGACUUUAGCCCACACCAUGCAUUGGACCUACUUCAGAGUAUCAACGCAGCUUCAAAAUGUGAACAUUUCCUUAUACUCUUAAUAUUUCCAUUAAACUCUUACUCCUGA